GACAGAGGUCCCGAGCGUUAGGCGGAAUCACUGGGCUUAAGGCGUGUGUAGGCGGAUUUGUAAGUACCUUGUGAAAUCCCACGGCUCAACCGUGGAACUGCUUGGUAUACUGCUUAUCUUGGGCCACUUAGGGGUUACCGGAACAAACGGUGGAGCGGUGAAAUGCGUAGAUAUCGUUUGGAACGCCAAUGGUGAAAACAGGUAACUGGGAGUGUGCCGACGCUGAGACACGAAAGCCAGGGGAGCGAACGGG
rnacentral:rRNA from 1 species